rnacentral:rRNA from 1 species
GAUGAACGCUGGCGGCGUGCCUAAUACAUGCAAGUCGAGCGAACGGACGAGAAGCUUGCUUCUCUGAUGUUAGCGGCGGACGGGUGAGUAACACGUGGAUAACCUACCUAUAAGACUGGGAUAACUUCGUGAAACCGGAGCUAAUACCGGCUAAUAUUUUGAACCGCAUGGUUCAAAAGUGAAAGACGGUCUUGCUGUCACUUAUAGAUGGAUCCGCGCUGCAUUAGCUAGUUGGUAAGGUAACGGCUUACCAAGGCAACGAUGCAUAGCCGACCUGAGAGGAUGAUCGGCCACACUGGAACUGAGACACGGUCCAGACUCCUACGGGAGGCAGCAGUAGGGAAUCUUCCGCAAUGGGCGAAAGCCUGACGGAGCAACGCCGCGUGAGUGAUGAAGGUCUUCGGAUCGUAAAACUCUGUUAUUAGGGAAGAACAUAUGUGUAAGUAAAUGUGCACAUCUUGACGGUACCUAAUCAGAAAGCCACGGCUAACUACGUG